UUAUUAUAAUUAAUUUUGUUUAUUUAUUUUAUGAAAGAUAAUUUAGAAUUAAUAAAAGUAAGUAUUGUAUAGGGAAAUUUAAUAAAGAUAAUAGAGAAGUAGUAUUGUAAAGAAAAGUUUAAAUAUAUUUAUAUAUUAAGUGAAAGAAGUUAAAUAAAACGUGCCUUGUGUAUCAUAAGUUAAUAAAGUAUUUUUUAUAAAAAAUAAUCCCGAAAAAAAGAUAGUUAAAUUAUUAUAAAAGUUUUUGUUUUAAUUAAAAUUAAUAAAUAAUAAUUUAGAGGUGAAAUGUCAGUCGAGCUUUUAUAUCUGGUUUUAAAUAAAACGAAUUAAAUUCGAGUCUUUUUUUUAUAAAAAUAAGAUUAAAGAAUAAAGAGGUGAGCUUUUUAUUCAAGAAAGAAAUAAGUAUAAAUUAUUAUAAUUAAUUUGUAUGACUAGGCUUGAAAGUAGCUAUGAUUAUAAAGUGUUUUAACUAAUAUUUGUUAUAAAUAAUAUUUAAAAUAAUUUUAUUUAUUUAGUUUAAAAUUUUUUUAAAUAAUAAAUGAAAAGGUAUUAUAUUAUUAUUAGUAUAAAUUUAUUUUGUUUAAAUUAUAUAAUGAAUUUAUUAAUAAAAUAUAUGAUAAUAAAUUAUUAAAAACUAACUCGGCAAAAAGAUUCUUGCCUGUUUAACAAAAACAUGUCUAUAUGAUGAUAUAUAUAGUUUAGCCUGCUCACUGAUUGAAUUAAAGAGCCGCAGUAUUCUGACUGUGCGAAGGUAGCAUAAUAGAUUGUCUUUUAAAUGGAGGCUUGAAUGAAUGGUUGGACAAAGUAUCAUCUGUUUCUUUAAUAUUUAUUGAAUUUGACUUUUAGGUGAAAAGGCUUAAAUAAAUUAAAAAGACGAUAAGACCCUAUAAAUUUUUAUAAAAAAUAUAUUUUAAAUUUAAAAUUAUAAGUUUAUUAAAAUUUAUAUUAUAUUUUUAUUGCACUGGGGCGGUGUAGAUAUAUUAAAUAACUGUUUAUGAAAUUAAAACAAUUAUAAUUGAUUAAUUUUAUUGAUCCUUUAAUAGAUUAUAAGAUUAAAAUACUUUAGGGAUAACAGCGUUAUUUUCUCUGAGAGUUCUUAUUGAAGAGAAAGUUUGCGACCUCGAUGUUGAAUUAAAGUUUCUUUAUGGUGCAGCAGCUAUAUAAGAGAGUCUGUUCGACUUUUAAUACUUUACAUGAUUUGAGUUCAGACCGGUGUGAGCCAGGUUGGUUUCUAUCUUUUAUUUAAAUAAAAUUAUUUUAGUACGAAAGGAUUAAAUAAUUAAAAUAUUUUUAUAAAUUGAAUGAUAUUAUC
rnacentral:rRNA from 1 species